GGAGGGUAUGUCUCACAAUCCGGCGCUUGCAUACAUCUUCUCAUAGGACGUGGGUUUCACGGUGAUAUUUUUGUAAAUAAUUAUAACUUUUCAAAAACCAUUUUUUGAAAAUCGUCUUUCAGAACGCUUUACUGAGUCGGUUUCUUCAAAAAUCGUAUUUGAAAAGACAUUCUCACUACUUGAAAUGGCGUGUCUCUCUUUCUCACUUUUGAGCUAACACAAAUCAUAUCAUCGUUUCGCAAAGCAAAUCCCUCCCAUAGUGGAAACCCUAAGCCCCAAUCCCGCGAAUGGUUUAGGAAACAAAUGGGGUUAUUGGCUCUGUUGUGAGGUGAAUGGGAAACACACUCGGUUAGGUUUUUUGAUUUGGAGUUUUUAGGAAUUUAGGGUUUGCGUGGUUUGGAUUUUGGGGAUGAAUUAGAGUUUCAGGGCUCAGGAAUCGCAAAUGCUUGAUGCUUUAAAGCAGAGGGAGCAACAAUUUGGGGGUUUGAGGGCUUUUGUGAUGAAGGAGAAGGAGGAGGAACUCGCAUUGUUUCUGGUGAUGAAGAAGCGCGAGAAGGAGCACAAUGACCUUCUUCUUAACAGCUCCGAAGAGUUCUAUGCACCUCUCGAAGGCUGGUGUUGAUGAUAUUCUAAAUUCAAAAAAUGAUAAGAAUGACUAUAACUGGUUGCAAACUUCCUAUUUCCUACUUCUCUUAAAGAUUAUUCUCUGCUUGAGGUUGAGACUUGCUUGAAAGCUCUUGAAGCACUUGAGAUAACAAGGAUGAACUUUCUUGCUCUGGUAAAGCAAUUUCAAAAUUCUGUGCCAAGUAUCCAUACCUACAGCUGCUUAAGAGUGAAACUUACUUAGCUGGAGAUUUAGGCACAUCUUUAUAGAAAUCUUUUCUCAGGUAAUUUUGUUUGUUUUUCUUGAGUUUUCAUAAUCUUACUGGAUGCCAUUAAAAGUCAGGGGAUGGAUGGGAUUAGGGUAGAUGUCCUUCAUUUGUAAAAGCUAAUUUGGCUUGGGCUCAACCCUGUGGUACAUGUUCAACUUUUGCACCAAAUGAUUUACCUUAUUUUUCUACUUUAUAUGCCCCGGGGGAGAUUUGACAUCAUGGUCUCUUCAAGAUAUAAAUAUAGUUGGAAACCAAGAUUCAGGUACUUAUUAACAAUUUAAAAACAUUUUUCUUCUCCUUUCUAA